GAUGAACGCUGGCGGCGUGCCUAAUACAUGCAAGUCGAGCGAACGGACGAGAAGCUUGCUUCUCUGAUGUUAGCGGCGGACGGGUGAGUAACACGUGGAUAACCUACCUAUAAGACUGGGAUAACUUCGGGAAACCGGAGCUAAUACCGGAUAAUAUUUUGAACCGCAUGGUUCAAAAGUGAAAGACGGUCUUGCUGUCACUUAUAGAUGGAUCCGCGCUGCAUUAGCUAGUUGGUAAGGUAACGGCUUACCAAGGCAACGAUGCAUAGCCGACCUGAGAGGGUGAUUGGCCACACUGGAACUGAGACACGGUCCAGACUCCUACGGGAGGCAGCAGUAGGGAAUCUUCCGCAAUGGGCGAAAGCCUGACGGAGCAACGCCGCGUGAGUGAUGAAGGUCUUCGGAUCGUAAAACUCUGUUAUUAGGGAAGAACAUAUGUGUAAGUAACUGUGCACAUCUUGACGGUACCUAAUCAGAAAGCCACGGCUAACUACGU
rnacentral:rRNA from 1 species